GUCGGCGUGGUGACCCUGCAGGCCCAGACGGUGCCGCUGAGCACCGAGCUGCCCGGCCGCACCACGGCGUUCCGGGUGGCCGAAGUCCGGCCGCAGGUCAACGGCAUCAUUCUCAAGCGCCUGUUCAAGGAAGGCAGCGACGUCAAGGAAGGCCAGCAGCUGUACCAGAUCGA
rnacentral:ncRNA from 1 species